GGAAGGAUCAUUAAUAAGAGUUAUGCCCAUAAAGGGUAGACCUCCAACCCUUGUUUUAAAUACUUUGUUGCUUUGGUGGGUCGUUAAAACCACUCUUUUAGUGAGUUACCCGCCAGAGGAUAUCAAAACUCUUGAAUUUUAGGUUGUCUGAAUAUAAAAAAAAUAUAUAAAAACUUUCAACAACGGAUCUCUUGGUUCUGGCAUCGAUGAAGAACGCAGCGAAAUGCGAUAAGUAAUGUGAAUUGCAGAAUUCAGUGAAUCAUCGAAUUUUUGAACGCAUAUUGCGCCCUUUGGUAUUCCGAGGGGCAUGCCUGUUCGAGCGUCAUUAAAUAAUUUCAAGUUAAACUUGGUAUUGGGCCCUUUCAUCUUAAAAAGAUGUGCCUGAAAAUUAGUGGCGAUGCUUUUAUAUUUUUCAAGCGUAGUAAAUUCUCGUCUUUAAAAAAUAGGGUAUCAGCCAAAAAUUUAAAUACUAAAAUUUUUAAUGUUGACCUCGAAUCAGGUAGGAUUACCCGCUGAACUUAAGCAUAUCAAUAAGCGGAGGAAAAGAAACCAACAGGGAUUGCCUUAGUAACGGCGAGUGAAGCGGCAAAAGCUCAAAUUUUAAAUCCAACUCCUUUGGAGUUCGAGUUGUAAUUUGUAGAGGAUGCUUCGGCUUUGACUUUCAAUUAAAGUUCCUUGGAACAGGACGUCAUAGAGGGUGAGAAUCCCGUUUAUGAUUGAAAGAUUCAAUAGCUAUGUGUAGCUCCUUCAAUGAGUCGAGUUGUUUGGGAAUGCAGCUCUAAAUGGGUGGUAAAUUUCAUCUAAAGCUAAAUAUUGGCCAGAGACCGAUAGCGCACAAGUAGAGUGAUCGAAAGAUGAAAAGCACUUUGGAAAGAGAGUUAAAAAGUACGUGAAAUUGUUGAAAGGGAAGCGCUUGCAAUCAGACUUGAUUAUAAUUGAUCAUCCAGUUCUCGGAAACGGAAACUGGUGCUCACUCAAUUAUUAAUCAGGCCAGCAUCAGUUUAGACGGUUGGAUAAAGACUUUAGGAAUGUAGCUCUCUUCGGGGAGUGUUAUAGCCUAAGGUGAAAUGCAAUCUGCCUAGACUGAGGACCGCGCCUUUAAGGCUAGGAUGCUGGCGUAAUGGUUUUAAGCGACCCGUCUUGAAACACGGACCAAGGAGUCUAACAUCUAUGCGAGUGUUUGGGUGAUUAAAACCCAUACGCGUAAUGAAAGUGAAUGUAGGUGGGAACUCUUUAAGAGUGCACCAUCGACCGAUCUUGAUGUUUUCGGAUGGAUUUGAGUAAGAGCAUAGCUGUUGGGACCCGAAAGAUGGUGAACUAUGCCUGAAUAGGGUGAAGCCAGAGGAAACUCUGGUGGAGGCUCGCAGCGGUUCUGACGUGCAAAUCGAUCGUCAAAUUUGGGUAUAGGGGCGAAAGACUAAUCGAACCAUCUAGUAGCUGGUUCCUGC
rnacentral:misc_RNA from 1 species